GACGGCGACGGACCGAGAGAAACACGUUGCAAGGGGGUCGGUCGGCAACGGGAGUGAAUGGCCAUGGCCGCCCAUGGGUGUCCCGCUGAAAUUUGUUUACCUUUUCCGUUUGUCUGUGAGCACCCUUCCACAAAACACCAUCUAUCUUUUAAUUAUUUUGAGAAUAAAUACAACGGAUGAGCCGUUUCGGUGCCUGAGCCCAGCUGAGCUCGAUAUCUUCUGUGUUUGGGAUCCGUGAAAAGGUGUCUGCCUGGACUGCCACGGAGUUUAGGAAAAUAGCACUGGGGCGAAAUACGCGACGGAACAGUAGGCAUACGUGGGCCCUAGGUCAAGCGGGGGGGCGACGGAAACGGUCGUGUGGUCUGGUCCGUGGCCCAGAACGUGAUGGGGUUUUCCGAGCCAUGGACCAGAACGUAUGGUCUGAUUCGUUCUAGAAACACUUGCCGGCCCGCGUAUCCGUCUUGCUUCCAACCACUCGCCGGCGGCGCUCGGUCAACACCGGCGGUACCUGCGUGCAAAAAAUGGAGGAUGCUGGCAUGGAGUUCCUCCUAGAUGCCGUUGACAGGUUAGGUAUCUCAGAUCUGCUUUCGCUUCUUUUCUUUUGCCGCCUGUUUCUCAGGUUCCCCUUGCGAGAGGAGUUUGCCGACAGCCAUGGACAACCAGAUUCGAUUCCUCUGGUCCUGCUGGCAAACAUCGGCUCGGGAGCAGCCGUGCCUGCAGACUCGGAUGCUGGCUCUGGGUGUGGUUAACAAAUCGGUGGCGAAGUCAAUGGUGCCCCAAGAGCUUGGGGCCGGCGAAGACCGGACUCAUCUUCGACGAGGUCUGCGCAGUCGACUGACAGGGUCAACCCGCAGGCCCCUGAGUGGACAAAAAGAUUACAGCUGGGUAGUGGUCCACCAGAUCGGGCACCAUACCCUCCCAGAAUGAGUGCUAUGGAGCAGUCGAUUGGCAAAAUACGCGGAGGAGCCAACAAAGAGUGUAAUUAAGCCAGAACUUGGCCUGAGUUUCGAUUCGUUGGGUGAGGCAUAUGACUUAUAGAAUUUGUAUUCCUAUGAGAUUGGCUUUGGUAUUAGAUGGGAUAAGAGCAGAUUAAACGCAAAGAGGACAAAAUGCAUGCAAGAGAUUGUCUUUGGUUGCUCGGGCAAGCCGGAGACUGAGAAUAGUAGGUGAUGCAGAUGUGAGUGCCUGGCCUUGAUUAGGUUGUUACGUGCAGCAGACAAACCUGGUAUAUACAGAGCGUCGUGAAAGCCACAACCAUUCUAUGUCGUUGAUAAUGGGCGAGAAAGUGCACUGGCUGUCGCAGAAACACAUUGAUGUGUACACAAAGGAUUUGAUAAAACAGUUCAGGGAGAAUAGUGUGAACCUUGGGAAGGUAUACAACAUAAUUGGCAGUUUCUUUGGGUCAGUCGAGAAAGUGCCAUUCACAAAACGGACUCUAAGGAAAAUUUGCGGUAAGAUACGUCAUGAGCAGGCAGAGGACGAUGUUAGGAAAAACUUUGGAGGUGUUUGCUGACAUUGUGAAUGGUGAUCAUGAAUUUACAUCCAAAGUUUUGGCAGACGGAAUAAGGUGAAGAACUUCAUGUGGACUAAUGGUAGCAGCUGAAUGCAGUACAAGUUCUUUGGUGAUGUGGUCACUUUCGAUACAACUUACAGGACAAACCUACAUGACAAAUAGCAGAGAGAUGGCAUCGUACGAGGGGCUGAGUAAGCGGACAAGGUUCUGCAGCAUAUGUCGUCAUGAGGGACACAAACGGACUACGUGCCCUGAAAGAGGGGAUGCACCAAAGAAACUGCGGAAGCCUGGGAAGUGCAAGAAUUGCGGCAUGGAAUGACACCGCCGGACCACGUGCACUAGGCGGAUGGGUGUUGCUGAGAAAUGAAUUAUGAACUUUAGAUACUCUGUAUUAUUGUAGUUCUGAGGACUUUCUGGUGUGUUUCCGUGAGCGUUGCUCCACGCUUGUUCCUCCGUUUCGAUAGUCAUGUGGCAGACUGUAAAAGUUAGAGCAAACAUUUGUUUAGCAAUCAUCUGUGAAUUAUUCAUUUGGUUAGAGCAAACAUUUGUUUAGCAAUCA